GGUGUUCGGUUUUACUCCUCCUCCCAAAAACCGAACCUGAGCGCGGCACUCCUCCUCCCAGUCGCGCUUAUCAGAUCAGCCCGCUGCAUACUCCUCCUCCCAGUGCAGCGGGCGUUCU
rnacentral:sRNA from 1 species